rnacentral:rRNA from 1 species
UUGCCAGCAAGUAAUGGUGGGAACUCAUGGGAUACUGCCGGGGUCAACUCGGAGGAAGGUGGGGAUGACGUCAAAUCAUCAUGCCCCUUAUGUCUUGGGCUUCACGCAUGCUACAAUGGCCGGUACAAAGGGCUGCAAUACCGUGAGGUGGAGCGAAUCCCAAAAAGCCGGUCCCAGUUCGGAUUGAGGUCUGCAACUCGACCUCAUGAAGUCGGAGUCGCUAGUAAUCGCAGAUCAGCAACGCUGCGGUGAAUACGUUCCCGGGUCUUGUACACACCGCCCGUCAAGUCAUGAAAGUCGGUAACACCUGAAGCCGGUGGCCCAACCCUUGUGGAGGGAGCCGUCGAAGGUG